GGGAUGAUGAGCACAGAGCCAUCUCCUGGGCUGCUGGGGGGGCCUGGGAGAUGCUGAGUUUGUUUGGUCAGCUCCCUGCUGUGGGGGCUGCACCAAUGGGAUCUGAGAGCAGAAAAUCUGCUUUCUCAUCUAUUAAAAUCAGCUUUUUGCUCUGAUGGACUUGCAUGCACAGGAGAAUAGGCCACGGCACGAAGAUCACAGCUUUUGAACCCAAAGCCCUGUAACCAUGCAGAAGUGAAGGAAAUGCUCAUUUUUGGUGCUGCUGAUUCUGGAACAACACUUUCAGCAACUAAAAUGAAUGUCAAGGACAUAUUUUACAGCAUGUAAGAUGACAUAAUACAGAGCAACAAAA